CGGCGAUCGGAACUCUCGGAAAUCCCCCGUGCGAUUCGUAUUCGGAGAGGAUGUGGCAACGCGGGGGGUACCAGAAAGCCGGGGACUUGGAGUCCGGCACGCAGCCGCUCUACCCGAUGAUGUCGGAGAGCCCCGAGCUCCGGUGGGCUUUCAUUAGGAAGGUCUAUUCCAUAAUCGCCGUCCAGUUGGCGCUGACGGCGGCCGUCGCCGCCGUCGUCAUCGCCGUCCCGCCCAUCUCCCACUUCCUCGUC
rnacentral:lncRNA from 1 species